rnacentral:rRNA from 1 species
CCUACGGGUGGCUGCAGUGGGGGAUCUUUCACAAUGGGGGAAACUCUGAUGCAGCGACGCCGCGUGAGGGAUGACGGUCUUCGGGUUGUAAACCGCUGUCUUUGGGGAGGAAAAUGACGGUAACUAAUGAGUAAGCUCCGGCUAACUACGUGUCAGCAGCCGCGGUAAUACGUAGGAAGCGAGCGUUGUCCGGAAUUACUGGGUGUAAAGGGUGCGUAGGGGGGCGAGAAAGGUGAAUGUUAAAUCGACCCGCUACAAUGCUAGCUGCGUUUAAAACUUCUUGUCUUGAGUGAAGUAGAGGCAGCCGGAAUUCCUAGUGUAGCGGUGAAAUGCGUAGAUAUUAGGAGGAACACCAGUGGCGUAGGCGGGCUGCUGGGA